UACAGAGGUCUCAAGCGUUGUUCGGAUUCAUUGGGCGUAAAGGGUGUGUAGGUGGCGCGCUAAGUCGGGUGUGAAAUUUCGGAGCUUAACUCCGAAACUGCAUUCGAUACUGGCGUGCUUGAGGACUGGAGAGGAGACUGGAAUUCAUGGUGUAGCAGUGAAAUGCGUAGAGAUCAUGAGGAACACCGGUGGCGAAGGCGGUUCUCUGGGCCUGUUCUGACGCUGAGGAGCGAAAGCGUGGGGAGCGAACAGG
rnacentral:rRNA from 1 species